UACAGAGGUGGCAAGCGUUGUUCGGAUUGAUUGGGUGUAAAGGGUGCGUAGGCGGUUUAGAAAGUCGGGUGUGAAAUCCUAUGGCUUAACCAUAGAAUUGCAUUCGAAACUUCUAGACUAGAGUGCGAAAGAGGUAAAGGGAAUUCCCGGUGUAAGGGUGAAAUCUGUAGAGAUCGGGAGGAACACCAGAAGCGAAGGCGCUUUACUGGUUCGCAACUGACGCUGAGUGCACGAAAGCAUGGGGAGCAAACGGG
rnacentral:rRNA from 1 species